GCUUUAGCCCAGUGGCAGAGCGCUUGCCUAGCAUGCAUGAGGCACUGGGUUCGAUCCCCAGCACUGCG
rnacentral:tRNA from 1 species